GUGAGGAAUAUUGCGCAAUGGAGGCAACUCUGACGCAGCCAUGCCGCGUGCAGGAAGAAGGCGCUACGCGUUGUAAACUGCUUUUAACCGGGAAGAAACCCCAGGACGUGUCCUGGGUUGACGGUACCGGAGGAAUAAGCACCGGCUAACUUCGUGCCAGCAGCCGCGGUAAUACGAAGGGUGCAAGCGUUAUCCGGAUUCAUUGGGUUUAAAGGGUGCGUAGGCGGAGCGUUAAGUCAGUGGUGAAAUCCUGCAGCUUAACUGUAGACUUGCCAUUGAUACUGGCGCUCUUGAGUGCGCUUGAAGUGCGCGGAAUGUGCCGUGUAGCGGUGAAAUGCUUAGAUAUGGCACAGAACACCAAUUGCGAAGGCAGCUCACUAAGGCGAUACUGACGCUGAGGCACGAAAGCGUGAGGAUCGAACAGGAUUAGAUACCCUUGUAGUCC
rnacentral:rRNA from 1 species